rnacentral:lncRNA from 1 species
GUCCCCGGCUCCAAGCAGCUCGGCCAGCAAAGCGUUUCUCCACUGCAGGGAAUUUCCAGGAGGCAGAUCCUGCCUCAGCUGCGGUGCCUUUCCCGAAUGGACGGUCCAGGACGGCAGGGACCUGGUCUGGCUCACGCUGCAUCCAGUGCCUAGAGAAACAGGCUUCAUUAACUGACCACCCGCUUUGUGCCAGGCGCUGUCUUAAAUGCUUUAAACGCAUCAUCUGAUCUGAUCCUCACCAUAGUCCUACAAGGAUUUUGACCCAAUUUAAUUUGCAGGCUCCCAAGUAGUGAACCUAAGAGGGUGGAGAAAAGGUUUUCCUCCUAGACAACGCCAAGUUCGAUCAGGAGGGAGAAACGCUGGUGGUACCAUCCUUCAGAGGGGAGGGGACCUGCUGACCCCUGACCGGUUGUUGGUGGCCAGGAUGGAUUUGUGCUCAUUUUUCUUCUGCCCAUCACUGUGCAUCCUAGGACACUACAAUCUCUGCAACUGAGUUUCUUUCACACAAAGCGAACAUAUACUGGAAGCUGCUCCCUCAGCCUUCUCAACAUGCUUCCGGCUGAAGGAAAGGAGACACCAGCAAGGCCACUGCCCCAGGCAAGGAGCCUGUGUGCGAGACAAGAUGCUCACACAGGCAGGUCUGGACAGUCCUCUCUCUCCUGGUGUGGGAGUCUGGCAGAAACAACUACAGUGAGAGGUUGCUGGGUGGGCUGGGAUCUGUUGGUGUAUCUCAGUGGCCCAAAGCGAUGAAGGGGUCAGAUGUCCAUGAGAAGAAGGCUCUGCUGGACAUUCAUUUUUUAGAUUUCGGUACUAUGGUCCUAUAAGGCCCCUUUGGAAAUGCAGAUCUACCUAAAGAGGAAUAACCCAGUAUUCCUGAAAUUUUUGAGGGUUUCGCCGGUUUGGAUCCUGGGCAUGGACCUGGCACCGCUCAUCAGGCCAUGCUGAGACGGCGUCCCACAUGCUACAACUAGAAGGACCCACAACUGAAAUAUACAGCCAUGUACCGGGGGGCUUUGGGGAGAAGAAGAAGAAGAAAAAAAAGAAGAUUGGCAACAGAUGUUAGCUCAGCCGUGGGAUCAAAGGAGACUUCUGUUGACUUCGAGGACAAAGAGAAACACAGGUGUGGUGCCCUGUGAACACUUCUGAGUUUGCUGUCUUUUUUCACCAUUUCCAGGGGCGUUUUGAUAAAGCAUGUGCCUGAUGCAUCGAGGAACCUGAGUCAUUUCUGCGAAAUGAUCACAUGAGCCACGGGAGUGCUCCAGGAUCGCUAGAUGUCAACCUUCUAGAGCUGGGUGCCGCUGAGGCAUCACCCCGUGCAGCCUCCUAACAGCCCAGGACCAAGGUGCCCAGAGACAGCGAGGAACCUCCAAGAGCCUGCCAAGAUUUCUCCAUCCGUCCAACCACAGCGCUCCCAAUUAAGCAAAAAACGCCACAAAUUGCAUGCAUAACAUGAACCAAACUUCCUAACGCACAGAAAAACACUGGCGGGAACGCCAGCUUCUUAAAUAGUGGCCGUCUUGGUAGUGGGUUUACUGCUUUUUCUACUUCCCCGUACUUUAAGUACUUUUGUGGACUUAACCUCCUUGUGCUUGCUUCUCCAUCUGUACCUGGCUAUGAAGAUUAAAGCACUUAAAAAAGCGCCUGGCAUGUAAGUAUUCAGCGAAUGCCACCUGUCAUUUCUUGCUAAGUUUUCUGCCAAGAACAUGUGUUACUUGUAAUGACGAAAAAUAUUUUGAAAAAUGUUUUCUGGACUACUGCUUUUAAAGAACGUCUCUUUAAUGGGAAACAAUUUACUCUUUUGGCAUCAGUGUCCUCCCCCCCCCCCCCAAAUCCACAUUCUCAAUUUGAAGCAGCAAGUUGCAAACUACUGUAUUAAUUUGCGGAGGGAUCUGCGUGCCCUUUAUGAAAAACUCUGGGCAUCACAUUCUAGAAACUUCCUCAGGAGCUCCACCGCCCUGCUUCCGCGCUGAAACGCGGGGGCCGAAGAAAGAGCUUGGCGGGAAGGCCUCGGGCUCUCCCGGAGGCCAGCCCUCCCCUCCGCGCCCGGGAACGGCGCCCAGUUCCGCCAUCGGGGCGCGCGACGAAAAAUGGAGGUACCCAGGCCUCCCCGCAGCGGCCGCGCCUGCGCCCUGCGCGUCCGGCCCGCCCCGGCGCGCGAGGCCGUUACAGCCGUUGAGGGAGGCCGAGGGGAGGGGAAGGAGCACCGCACAAGGCCCCGCCCCGCGUCUGAGCGCGCGGUUCCGGCGAGCCCGGCUCCGGCGCCGGUAGUCCGCUCCAGGCCGCUCCGGACCGCGAGCCGCUCCGUAGGCGCCGGCCGCGCUCCGUGCUUUCCCUCCAGCCCUUUGUGUCCUGGCGCGCGUCGGAGGCAACGCGGGAACGCGCGCCGCGCCGUGCGCCUGCGCAAGGGGGCGGGCGGCGCGCCCUGCCGGGAGUGGGUGCCGCUCCCGGGCGCGCCGCCCCUCGCCCCGCCCCCUGCCGCCAUUUCGUGCUCGGGCGCCUCGCCUGGGCCCGGCGCGCGCGGCCUCCGCGUGAUGGACGCCCGGAAGCCGGGACAACAAAGGCCCGAGCGCAGGGGCUGCGCUGGCUGCAGGGCCUUCCGCUGUCCGCGGGGCGAAGAUGGCGCCCGGAGGCUGCAGCUGGGCCUGAGUGUGGAGGGAAAUGGGCGCUUCUGCCUCCCCCGGCUGGGCCUAUGGACUGACCGCGGGGGCCUGCACGUCCUCGUGUGCUCACACCCCUGGGGUGUGCAUCUUCCUGUGUAUGCACCACCUCGGGAGCGUGCACAUGCCCAAACUCGUGUUUGCACCUUCCGGCACGCACCAACCCGUAGGCUUCCAUGUAUUCCUGUGGCACGACCUCGAGGAUGUGCUCGCAGUGGACUAUGCCCGCACUUUUGUUCGCACCACGCGGCUACCGACAGAGGCCUGGUGUCCAUGGAUUCAUGUUCGCACGACCCCGGGAUAUGCACGGACGCGUGCAUACACGAAUCUGGUGUAUGCACGAAUCUCUAUUUCGUGGCCCCGGGUUUGUGGGCAGAUCCACGAGUGAUCACACUGAACCCUCACAACGACCUGGGAGUAGCCCUUAUUAUCUUGGAUUCACAACUGAGGGGCCACCUCAGACACAGGAGACAGGUGCUCAGAAGGUGGUGGUGAUGAAUGAACGCCCUUCUCCCAGCAAAUGUGACUUCUCUGCAUCCAUUCAUGUGACUCACGUCUUCUUAGAUCUCUCUGGCUUAAAAACUGUCCUACUGCAGCUACAGAGUGGAAAGCGCCCACAUUUUGUGGCCAGAAGACCUGAAUUCCAGACCCGGCCUGUUGUCUAGAUCGCGUCUCUGAGCCAACAGGUCCUCAUGGUCACGUGGGGCUGAUUCCCCUCCCCCAGGCUGGCUCGGAGGAUUAAAGGCAUUUAUCUUGUGCAGGGGACACAGGGCACAGAGAUACCACCCAAAUGGCAGCCACAAGAGGACUCCGCUCAAAGUGCUCUUCCUUGGGGGCCUCCCUAGCACAUGUGUGCAAUUUCCCCUGUAUUGUUCUCUAAUCCUUGAUGGUUACUCUGUAAUUGCUCUCAAAUGGUUUCAUCAUAAUAAAUAGCAUCUGCAGAGCCGUUUACGAACUGUACCUUUUUCCUCAUCCCUUUCCCACCUUUACAAAAAGAAACUGAGGCUCAGAGAAGUGAAUUGAUUUCUCUAAGACCACACAGUGAGGAGGAGGCGAGCUCACCCCUCCUUGGCCCGUGGGGCCUGCAGGCCCCCAGCCCACUGUGUCCCCAGUUCCAGGCAGGGGAGGGAGGGACAGAGAGGGAGCUUGGCAGGAGUCCAGGGGCUACCUGGGGUCUGAUGGCUGAGGGAGGAGACGGGCAGUUCACUCGGCCCCAGGCAGGCUGGGUGCAUGGGCGUCCAUGCAGAAUCAUGCACUCACCUGUGUGUGCAGGUGUGCAGGCUGAGACCAGGUGACCCCCAAGGGGGCUUAUAGAGGGAUCACGCCUCUGGGGUGGGAUGUGGGACUAGGUUGGCUCUGGAAUCCCUUUCUGUUCUUAGGCUUAUGUGACUUGGAAACUUCUGGAAAAAGACUGGGCCAAAUGAAACGCUUCCACUGGAACUGAGGUUCCAUUAUUACCCAGAUAAGCUGCAUUAUUAGCUGUUUGUUUGAUUUGCUUAUUUUGUUGUUUUGGUCAGAAAACUGAGGCACCAGGGAGGUCUGUGGCCUUGUCCCAGAGGCACAGUGAGGUAAGAAUGGGAGACGAAGACAGCAGAGCAAGGAGCCACAGGAGAGAGGGAAAGGGGAUGGGGGCAGGGAAGAGCGAUCGCAGGGAAGGUCCCAAUACACCUGGAGCUGCUCCUCAUCUUUGAAGUCAGCUCAGAGGAUGCCUCCUCUGGGAAGCCCUCCCUAACUGCUCAGGCAGAGUUCUCUGCUCUCUCCUCCAGGUUCCCACUCCUGUGGCCCUUGACACACUCAGUGUCGACCUUCCGGACUGUGCCUGCCUCCCCCACUGGGUGGUGAGCAAGGCAGGGAGCCUGUGUGUGUGUAUGUGUGUGUGUGUAAGCUUAUAUUUGGGAAGGUUAAAAAAAUAUAGAAAAAUGAAAGGAGAAUGAAGCAAAUGCCCAUGUACCUGGAGGGACUGGCUUUGUGCCCCAUCCCUAGAUGGGAAGGGUGCUUGUGUGACUGCCGACAUGGCAGGCACACAUUCAUGUCUGCACACGCACAAACACACGUGUGGCCCAACCUCAUGAAACAUGUUACCCACCAUGAAUACAUGUUCACGGUUGUACCUACAAUGCACGUGCACCCCCAUAAUCGGGAUGUGGAAGGACUGGAAAGGGGCCUAUUCCAGAGAAGCGAGGAGCUGGGCCAAGGACAGGGGUGUGGCCACUGCGGGCCUGCCGUGUGUCUGUCUGCAGAGGGUUUCCAGACCCGCCCCGACUGCCACUCCCACUCCAUGCUUCUGUCUAGAGAGAGAAGGCAGGCUCCCUCAUCUACGGGGAGCCCACAGUAGCCAGCAGGGUUGCGGCUCCCUGACCCCAUUUUCGAGGUUUCAGGCUGUGACACUUGGCUCUUUUCCAGCCUUUCCUGCUGUCCCCUCUGCCAGAUCAGUCCCUGACCUCGAGCAGCUGGGAGCAGCAGCAGCCCUGGCUCCAGGACGGCUUACUGCGGGUGCGGCCAGCAUGGACAGAUAAGGACUGAGGCGCCCUGAGAGGGCGACCCGAGGACGGGGAGCAGAGCCUUCGGGCAGAGCUGGGUGACCUCGGAGUAAUACCAUGAACCGCACUGCCAGUUUCUGAAAGGCAACAAUCGAGAGCUUUGUAGGCUGAGAAGGGAAAUUCCCACCAAGUAAUAUAAUAAAAAUUACCAACAAGUUCUAAGCUGUGGGUUGCUUUGCCACUGAGAUGUGAACAAAAUGAGAGGUACUCAGCCUCCUGGGAAAGCUCAGAACCCCCCCCCCCCAAUUCUGCAGAAUGGUUCAUCUCUCUCCACUCUGGCCCCAACUCAGUUCCAGACCCACGUGGGUGCCUCUGGAGCCCCAGGUGUUCAGCUGGACUCAAAGGCUCUGAGCCUCAGAGGGCAGCUUGGGGUUUAGAGAGAAUCCCCUCUGCAUUUCACUGGGAGUUGGGGAGCCCCUUGGGGUUCUGGGCCUUCCCCAGGAAGCCCACUCAGGGCGUGAGGGGGUGCCAGGCUGGGGAUGGCUCUUCUUAGCCUGCCUUUGGGUUUUCUGAGGGACCGGCCUGGGCCUUGCCGUGGAGUGUCCAGGUCAGUGGUCUCAGGAAAGGGGCAGGGAGGCCGUCCGUGUUCCCAGUUCCUGUGCUUAUUCCUGUGGGUGUUGGGCCAUACUUCCUUAAGGCUGAGCACCAUGCCAAUACUCCGGGGACAUUCCUGUCUCUCCAGGAGAGCUCAAAAUCUGAAUUAUUAGGUGUAAAUGCCAUGGAGGGGGCCUUAGCGAGGGGUGGCCGAUUCCUCGCUCAUCCUCCAAUAACUCAAUGAACUUUACCCCCUCUUGGAAAGCCCCCCAAAAGAUAAGAGAAUGACAUGGGGAAAUGGAAG